GAGGAAAGAGGGGGGCGUGCCUAAUACAUGCAAGUCGAGCGAACAGACGAGGAGCUUGCUCCUCUGACGUUAGCGGCGGACGGGUGAGUAACACGUGGAUAACCUACCUAUAAGACUGGGAUAACUUCGGGAAACCGGAGCUAAUACCGGAUAAUAUAUUGAACCGCAUGGUUCAAUAGUGAAAGACGGUUUUGCUGUCACUUAUAGAUGGAUCCGCGCCGCAUUAGCUAGUUGGUAAGGUAACGGCUUACCAAGGCAACGAUGCGUAGCCGACCUGAGAGGGUGAUCGGCCACACUGGAACUGAGACACGGUCCAGACUCCUACGGGAGGCAGCAGUAGGGAAUCUUCCGCAAUGGGCGAAAGCUUGACGGAGCAACGCCGCGUGAGUGAUGAAGGUCUUCGGAUCGUAAAACUCUGUUAUUAGGGAAGAACAAAUGUGUAAGUAACUAUGCACGUCUUGACGGUACCUAAUCAGAAAGCCACGGCUAACUACGUG
rnacentral:rRNA from 1 species